rnacentral:tRNA from 2 species
GCGGACCUGAUGUAACAGCAGCAUGCCGGGCCUCCACCCCGGUCGCGCGGGUGCGAAGCCCGCGGUCCGCACCA